GACGAACGCUGGCGGCGUGCUUAACACAUGCAAGUCGAACGAAGUGGCGAAAGGGUGAGUAAGACGUGGGUAACAUGCCCUACUUUUUGGGAUAAGCCUUUGAAAAGGGGUCUAAUACCGAAUACAGGGGGAUUGGCCAGGGGCCUAUCAGCUUGUUGGUGGGGUGAUGGCAUAACAAGGCGGUGACGGGUGGCCGGCCUGAGAGGGUGACCGGCAACUGUGGGACGGCGCGACGGCCCAGACUCCUACGGGAGGUAGCAUUGGGGGAUAUUGGACAAGGGGCGAAAGCCUGAUGCAGCGACGCCGCGUGGGGGAUGAAGGCUUUCGGGUUGUAAACCUCUUUAGCUAUCGAACGGGUAUGUGGAGAAGAAGCGCCGGCUAACUACGUGCCAGCAGCCGCGGUAAUUC
rnacentral:rRNA from 1 species